rnacentral:tRNA from 1 species
GGCAACGUAGCUCAGCGGCAGAGCGGGGUCUUCAUAAGGCCUAGGUCACUGGUUCGAAUCCAGUCGUUGCCACCA